UUUUGGAACAAGCCGCAUGAUCAUCUUUUCCGCAUCAUCCCCGCUUCCGCGUUCAAAGGAAUUCCUCCCAGCCGAUCCCAACAUCCUCGUCUUCUCCUAAUCCUCCCAGAUCCUCUCAUUCCCUUCCGUUUCGAACACAGCCGCAGCAUUCCAGACCGACCGCUCGUCCCAGCGCGUUCACAGCAGAAUAAUAAGCCCCACCUCCUGUGCACGAUCCUCCGCUUCUACUCUCUCCGUGAUGCAUCCAAGAUCCUGGCAGUCCAGCCUCUUCCGUCGUCCAUUACACACCCAGAUCCACCUCCCGGAACUCUAGCACCCCAGCAAAGCCGCAAGAAUCGGUCCGGAUUUCCUCACGCGCCCGUUUCUUCUUCAGCCAGCAUCCCGGAUGAUCCGAUCCCGCGGCCAUCUCAUCUCCUUCCGUCCGCACAUCAGCCUCCUGUCGAUCCAGCAGCCAGCUCCAUUGAUCUGGUCAUUCAACCCGGCGCUCCAUGGAUCACGCUUUCCUCCCGAGAUUCAGCCAUUCUUUCUCUUCGUCCGCGAUCUGCCCUCCAGCAUCCCGCCCCGGAAUCAGGCCCGUGACCUCUUCUCCCUUCCCGAAUGAGCGCCCCAGACGAGUAUAAAGAGAGAAGGGUGGCCAUCGGCUUGGGGGGGCUGGGUUGGAUUGAAAACAGGGGAGCCCUGUUUCGGUGAAGAAAAAGGAAGAGAGGAGAAGGCCGAAUCAGA
rnacentral:lncRNA from 1 species